ensembl:misc_RNA predicted gene, 25714
GACAACAACAAAGUUUUUUUUUUCUGGCUAUGCCAUUUGUCGAACAUUGACCAGAAGGGUUUAUUCAGAUGAUCUGAUUGGCUAGGUGGGCAUCCUUUGCCUUUGUCCCCACUCCUUGUGCAUCAUUCCCAAAGUUGUGUUUACAAUUGAAGAGGAAUAUCUUCCCAGAAUAGAGGACGACCAGUCAAAAGUAUUGUAGUAGAUGUAUCCUCCUGCUAGAUCAACUCUCAAGGUCCAUGGUAUUUUACCUUAAUGUUGACUAAUGCAAGGUGGUGACACUAGUCACUUAUCCAGUCCAU